rnacentral:rRNA from 1 species
AUUGAACGCUGGCGGCGUGCUUAACACAUGCAAGUCGAACGGUAAGGCCCUUCGGGGUACACGAGUGGCGAACGGGUGAGUAACACGUGGGUGAUCUGCCCUGCACUUCGGGAUAAGCCUGGGAAACUGGGUCUAAUACCGGAUAGGACCCUGGGAUGCAUGUCCUGGGGUGGAAAGCUUUUGCGGUGUGGGAUGGGCCCGCGGCCUAUCAGCUUGUUGGUGGGGUGAUGGCCUACCAAGGCGACGACGGGUAGCCGGCCUGAGAGGGUGACCGGGCACACGGGGACGGAGAUACGGCCCAGACUCCUACGGGAGGCAGCAGUGGGGAAUAUUGCACAAUGGGCGCAAGCCUGAUGCAGCGACGCCGCGUGAGGGAUGACGGCCUUCGGGUUGUAAACCUCUUUCAGCACCGACGAAGCGCAAGUGACGGUAGGUGCAGAAGAAGGACCGGCCAACUACGUGCCAGCCGCCGCGGUAA